GACGAAGGGGGGCUAGCGUUGUUCGGAAUUACUGGGCGUAAAGAGCUCGUAGGCGGUUUGUCGCGUCUGCCGUGAAAGUCCGGGGCUCAACUCCGGAUCUGCGGUGGGUACGGGCAGACUAGAGUGAUGUAGGGGAGACUGGAAUUCCUGGUGUAGCGGUGAAAUGCGCAGAUAUCAGGAGGAACACCGAUGGCGAAGGCAGGUCUCUGGGCAUUAACUGACGCUGAGGAGCGAAAGCAUGGGGAGCGAACAGG
rnacentral:rRNA from 1 species